UGGCAAGCUCCUGUCCUGUAUCUGCACACCACAGAAGAAGAGAUACUCAGAGGUCAGCACUACCAAUCCUUCCUCCAGCAACUCCCAGGGGUCAAGGAGCGCCCAGAACACAGGAGAGUCGCAGAUAUGAAGUCACCAAACCCCCACAAUGCACUUCUCUACUCCCCCUGCCAUGACAAAGGUUCCCACUAGAUGGCCAAACUGUAAAGUCAAAAUGGUCGAUAUUGUAAACAUUUCUGAAAACAAAGAUUUGGGUUUAGCGGUGUGGUUAAGGUUAGGGUUAAGAUACAUUGUAGAAAUGGGCAGGGUGUCUGAUUUAGCAUCUUGCCAGAUAGUGACAACCCAGAGGAUAGUACUUUUCAGGUUAGUAGAAAAUGUGUCCAACUAGCCAGCCAGAUAGUAAAAAUUGUGCUCCACUAGCCAGGCUGGCCAGCGCCCAAAUUCCUUAAGUUCCACCCCUGAUUAGACACUUCAUACCAAACUUGAUGUUAACCACUGUCUUAUCAAGCAUUAGGUUAUCCAUUCAGAAAUUAUAUGAUCUUCAUGUCAUCCAAUAGCAAUCCAUAUGAUCUUUAUGUCAUCCAAUCAGAAGUUAUAUGAUCUUCAUGUCAUCCAAUAGGAAUCCAUAUGAUCUUUAUGUCAUCCAAUAGCAAUCCAUAUCCUCUUUGUCAUUUUUACAGCCACAAAAGAAAGGUACUAUUUUACACCACCUCGUCAAAAAGACAGAUGAAACCAUAAUCAUGAACAUAAGCUUUCUUCUUUUACAUUUAUGUGAUAAAUUUAUAGUCAUAUUUAUUACCAAGAGCACAAGAUAUGAUCACUUUUCUACACAAAUACAUUUUUAGAAAAAUGUAAGAUUAUGUGAAGAUAUGUGUUAGUUGUGACCAAAUGGAGUGUUAUACUGUAAAUGUGUAUUUAUCUUUAACACUUUAUUAAUAACUUUUAAGAAUAAGCCUUUAUAAAUGAAUGUGUAUGUUUAUAAAUUAUUGUAAAUGUUGUAAAUUCUUAUGGAAUGGAAGGCUAUUAAUGCUUACACAUUCUUAUAAAUGUUUAUAAAUGUUUCCAAAUAUAAUUGUUAAUAGUGUAUACAUUGUUAAAAGGUUUAUUCAAGAUAGUUAUUAUAAAGUGUUACCAUGGCCACCUCUAUGUAUAUAAUGAGAUAUUAGAAGAUUUGUUGUGAACACUUGCAAUGCUUUUGUCCGAAUACAGCAUUUAUCAACAGGUUUUUUUUUUUUUAUCCCUGUGGGAAGAUUCCCUGAAUCAUGGGGGAAUUAACAGGAAGUCCGGAUUCUCCAACCGGGAUUGUCACUCAUUGCUCCAUCUUAAAACUCUUGUUUUAUUUAUUACUGGCCAACAAAAUAUAGUGUAGCAAUUUGAGAGGAGUUACCCCGACCUGGACUUAACCACAACAAGUUGUGGGACGACCGGUUUGUUGCUUUUUGAAUCCCAUGAUCAUGGAGGUAAAGUCUUAAAACGAUGUAAAAAAUGUAUUUUAUUCUAUUCUGUUGCACUUUUACUUCCACAAGUUGUGUGUUUUAUACUUUUUGAGAACGUACCAUUUUCAUGUCCUUUUAUCAACCAAGUUCUGAAUGUAAGCACUUAGUGUUGUACUUCACUGUGUAGUGUGUGUGUGAGUGAGAUAGAGAGAGAGAGAGAGAGAGCGAGAGAGAAAGAGCGAGAGAGAGUCUGGGUGUGUUUCGGUACGUCUGUAAUUUUAGCCACAAUUAAAAUAUAGUUACAAAUAA